UGGCGGCAGCUUACCAUGCAAGUCGAGCGGUAACAUUUCUAGCUUGCUAGAAGAUGACGAGCGGCGGACGGGUGAGUAAUACUUAGGAAUCUACCUAGUAGUGGGGGAUAGCUCGGGGAAACUCGAAUUAAUACCGCAUACGACCUACGGGAGAAAGGGGGCAACUUGUUGCUCUCGCUAUUAGAUGAGCCUAAGUCGGAUUAGCUAGAUGGUGGGGUAAAGGCCUACCAUGGCGACGAUCUGUAGCUGGUCUGAGAGGAUGAUCAGCCACACCGGGACUGAGACACGGCCCGGACUCCUACGGGAGGCAGCAGUGGGGAAUAUUGGACAAUGGGGGAAACCCUGAUCCAGCCAUGCCGCGUGUGUGAAGAAGGCCUUUUGGUUGUAAAGCACUUUAAGCAGUGAAGAAGACUCUUCGGUUAAUACCCGGAGACGAUGACAUUAGCUGCAGAAUAAGCACCGGCUAACUCUGUGCCAGCAGCCGCGGUAAU
rnacentral:rRNA from 1 species